AGGUGCCCCGGGAAAACUUGGGGGAGAAUGGGCAUCCCACCCCAGCACUUUCUAGGAAGAAGGGCAGCAUUUUGAAGGGCUGGAAGUAGAGGAAGGAGGUUGCGGGUAGAAGACUCCAUACUUUCUGUGACGCCUAUUCCUUAGGAGAGCCUUUAUAUAACCAAAGAUAUUUUUGGACCAUGAAUUCAGAAAUUCUCGGAGCCACCCAUCAGUGCCUGAGCUUCAGUGAGUCCAUAUCCCAUGUCACCCACGGCAAAGGAGACUCUAAGACUUCUGAAGAGUUUCUUGCUUCUUUCCUGUGGGGCAGUGACUCCACUUCCCAGCAGUAAUGGAAUAUCCUGAAUUAGCUACAUUAAUGUUAGAACCAUUUGGACCUCACCCAGGACUUCAACUACAUUAUGAGUAACUCCUGGACGAUUGGCACAGAAGAAGGCACAAGGCAAAUACCCAUCUCUGUACACCCUGUGCUACUGUGUCAUGUGCUGCUCCAGGCAACUCCAAUGGAUUGGCCACCCUGGCCAAUGUGUUCUAGUAUGUUACGUUUAUGUUCCCCUGCUUUCUACAAUCCUGUUCAAAGAGUUGCUGACUUAACCACAGAGAGGAUUCCAGAACCUGAGACACAGAAUAAACUUGAGCAAUCAUAGUCCAUCCACUUCAUUGUCUCAUCAAAAACCAAAGGUCCAGUGAAGCUCUGGAACUCAACGCUGUAAAGGAGCGAAGGAGCUUCUAUACAGAGCCUGGAUGCCUGUCUCCUUAUCCUACUUCAGUGGACUUGACUGCAAUCCGGAUUAUGCUGUUUUCUAAGCAUUUAAAAUAAAAUAAAAAGUAUAAUAGUG
rnacentral:lncRNA from 1 species